ensembl:lncRNA
UGUAUAUACAACAUUAAAUUAAGUUUGCUUUCUCCUGUUAAUCUUUCUUUCAUUAUAGGGAGGGGGCGGUCUUCAGCCAAAAACCUAGAAGACAGAGGGGAAGUAAUUUUUCCUCUCCUACACACCUAAGCAAAAACAAAACCAAAGUGCAGUCUAAAGGGUUUUUGCAAAACUUAAAUCAUGUUAUAAAUUUCUCUUUAAAAUGCAGAGUAACAACUUGUAGAGAACCCAAGUUUAGUAGUCCUUUUUUUAAAGUGAAAAAGAGAUGGUAAUGCAUGGUCUGGUGAGUAAUGUUUAGAAAACCAUACAAGAUUGCUGUCCACCUGAAACUCAUACCUUCCUCCCACCCUCUGUCUUGAAUUAACUUCCUUCUUUCCUGCCCCCGUGCCUGCCUCUCUCCUUCCUUCCUUUGAAUUGCAGGUUCAUGUUCAUGGCAGAUGCUGUAUUCUCCCCUUCAUUUUUAGUGAAACAACUUCAGUUUUAUUCAGGGCUCAAUUUUAUUCAUUUUAUUCAACUUCAAUUUUAUUCAUCUGCCAAGUUAAACUACAACAACAGCAGUAUCAGCAGUGGAUUUCUCAGCCCAUCGUGCAUGUGCGGUCCUAGCUCAGGAGAUGUGGAUUCACUGGGAGGGGCUUCGAGGAAAGCCCUUUAAAAUGGGGAAGAUAAGCCAGCUUGUUACAUUUGUUUUCUGGCUUUGCCCUGUCUUUUCUCCUCGUCCUCCCUGAUGUACGAGUGCAUUGCUGCAAGCCUUUUCACUGUGUGGUGAGGAGAGGAAGGACGCCUGCAAAGCAAGGCCCAGCAGGAAGAGUCUGGUCCCUAUUGGUGCAGCUGAUGAUGUGUUCUCUGUCUCUAAUUAUGAAGACUACUGCUGCUACUGCUAAGUUGCUUCAGUCGUGUCCGACUCUGUGUGACCCCAUAGACGGCAGCCCACCAGGCUCCCCCGUCCCUGGGAUUCUCCAGGGCACCAUGUCUAAAUAUUCAACUUCUCCUAAAGGAAGAAAAGAAACAUCUUGGGUAGAUAUCUCUCUGAAGAUGCCUGAGAAGUCCAACUACUUGUUUCCUGCAUAUAUUACUUUAAGCCUGGUAUUAAAGACAUUUUCACUGAUAUACCAAGUACUUUGGAGGGAGAGAUUUUGAAUAAAAACAAUGAAAUAUAAUUAGUUACACAAGCUUUGUUAUGACUGCAUUUUAUAAAAGUAAUAGAAAAUAAUUAAAAGAAUAUUGUGCUUUAGGGUUCUUAACUCUCUGUUAUGUUUCAUAAUUUAUGUGAAAUUUACUUUCACCUCAACACUGCUGUGAACCAGGUAUUCUAACUCCAUUUUGAAGAUGAGAAAACUCAGAGAAGUUCAGCAAAUGACUCAAAGUCAUGCAUGCAUGCGUUUAUGCGGUACUAAGUUACUUCAAUCAUGUCUGACUCUUUGCAACACUAUGGACUGUAGUCCCCCAGGCUCCUCUGUCCAUGGGAUUCUCCAGGUGACAACACUAGAGUGGGUUGUCAUGCCCUCCUCCAGGGGAUCUUCCCAACCCAGGGACUGAACCCGUGUCUCUUAUGUCUCCUGCAUUGGUAGGCAGGUUCUUUGCCACUAGUGCCCACCAGGUUGCACAGCUAUUAAAUGGCAGGCUCAAGACACAAAUCUAGGUUGAGCUGACUUCAAAGUUGGUACUUAUUUGAAAAGUAUCUAGGAUGGUGUCAAACCCAUGUGUCAAGUUGUGUUAGUCAUGUCUGACUCUCUGUGAUCCCAUGUACUGUAGCCAGCCAGGCUCCUCUGUCCAUGGGAUUUCCCAGGCAAGAAUACCAGACCCAUAGUAAACAUCAAUAAACACUAUCUCUCCUUUCCUAUAUAGACUCUUUCACUUUGUUAUACUGUGAUUUGAAUGGUUCUUUCAAGAAACGAGUGGAGUGGGACUAUGCU